UGAUCUGAAGGGUACAAUAAGGUGGUCAUAUGAUGAAUGAUAAUUUCAAUAUUUAAUAGACACCAGGCAUGUUGCAUCUCUAAUACCUAUUUAGAAUAUUGGAUACAUUAUCAUACACCUUAAUGGGAGGCUAUGAACUAGUUAUCCCCAUAAUUGUAGCAUUUUAAGGAUUUAAUAAUUUAGAAAAUUUGAUUUAAUAAUUUGAGAAU
rnacentral:lncRNA from 1 species